GGAGUCCCUCCUCUAAAAGCACUCUGUGUGGGGAACAUGAGAGCCAGACCAAAGCUCAGAGGAACCCACCUGGACCUCCACCCAGCUCUGUGUCCUUAAAGAGUGACGCGUCUAAAGAUUGGCCCAUUACUUUUAAAGUCCAGCCUGUGUCUGCUGCAGAGAGAGGUCAGAGGUCACAGUCUGCAGGGUCCAGCUGUCCGUCUGUGAGGAGUGACCGGUCCA